rnacentral:rRNA from 1 species
AGAGUUUGAUCCUGGCUCAGGAUGAACGCUGGCGGCGUGCUUAACACAUGCAAGUCGAACGAUUAACCCAAACUUCGGUUUGGUUAUAAAGUGGCGAACGGGUGAGUAACACGUGACCAACCUGCCUUCUAGAUCGGGAUAACUCAAGGAAACUUGUGCUAAUACCGGAUACUCCGAGAAUCUCGCAUGAGGUACUCGGGAAAGCUUUUGCGCUAGAAGAUGGGGUCGCGGCCUAUUAGGUAGUUGGUGGGGUAACGGCCUACCAAGCCUGCGAUAGGUAGCCGGGUUGAGAGACUGAUCGGCCACAUUGGGACUGAGAUACGGCCCAGACUCCUACGGGAGGCAGCAGUGGGGAAUUUUGCGCAAUGGGGGAAACCCUGACGCAGCAACGCCGCGUGCGGGAUGAAGGUCUUCGGAUUGUAAACCGCUUUCAGUAGGGAAUAUUAUGAAGGUACCUACAGAAGAAGCACCGGCUAAAUACGUGCCAGCAGCCGCGGUAAUACGUAUGGUGCGAGCGUUAUCCGGAAUCAUUGGGCGUAAAGCGCGCGUAGGCGGCUUGUUAAGCAGGAAUUUAAAUCUUAGGGCUCAACCUUAAGUCGGUUCCUGAACUGGCAGGCUCGAGUUUGGUAGAGGAAAGUGGAAUUCCCAGUGUAGCGGUGAAAUGCGCAGAUAUUGGGAAGAACACCGAUGGCGAAGGCAGCUUUCUGGGCCAUAACUGACGCUGAGGCGCGAAAGCUGGGGGAGCGAACAGGAUUAGAUACCCUGGUAGUCCUAGCCGUAAACGAUGGGCACUAGGUG